GAGACGGGUAGGCGUGGCUAGCCUCGUUCUGCUCCGAGGAUUCCUAUAUAAAGCACCGGGAGGCCGCUUGUUCGCUCUUUCGCCUGGACCUCGAGGAAGUAGGUGAGCUUUCGGAGCUAUGGGACUAAGAUUUGUGUUACUAUUGCCGAGACGCAAAAUGAGCUCUGUGAUUAUGAAAACACCAACAUACAUAGAAAAGUAUUCUAUGGAGAAUAGUGGAAUUUCUUAGGCUUGAAGCUACUUUAUCCGAAAGGUUAUAGCAGCUGAAAUCCAGGCAGAAGUUGGGAUGUGUUUCAUCCAUGGUCCCCAGUUCUUUAUUCCUAACAUGCAUUAAGCAGAUGAAAUGUCUUGAAUUGGGAUAGGACAGAGACCGAAGCCUGUAGGCGGAAGACUGAAUUCCUUUUUACAGUGCCUAUUGCAAAAACAGUGAUAACCUUGUUUGAUGCAUUUACUUCUUAUCUGGAAUCUACCUGAAUGAAGUUGCAGCGUGCAUAUGUGCCUCCAUUAAGGAAUAUCAGAUCAAUAAACAAGGAAAUAAAAUGAAAAGCUUUCUUGCAGUUAAAUGCUUAUAACAAUUAAAUGUACAAUGGCUUUGCUAUAUUCAAAGUUUGAUGUACUCAAAUGAUUUUUUUAUGUCAUGGGAUCUUAUGUGGCUCUUGAGAAUGAAGAUUGAAGCAAUGUUUCAGAAUAAAGCUUUACAAUCAUUGUA